UACAGAGGUCUCAAGCGUUGUUCGGAUUCAUUGGGCGUAAAGGGUGCGUAGGCGGCGCGGUAAGUCGGGUGUGAAAUCUCGGAGCUUAACUCCGAAACUGCAUUCGAUACUGCCGUGCUUGAGGACUGGAGAGGAGACUGGAAUUUACGGUGUAGCGGUGAAAUGCGUAGAUAUCGUAAGGAAGACCGGUGGCGAAGGCGGAUCUCUGGGCCUUACCUGACGCUCAGGCGCGAAAGCUAGGGGGAGCGAACUGG
rnacentral:rRNA from 1 species